AGGAAAAGAAACCAACAGGGAUUGCCUCAGUAGCGGCGAGUGAAGCGGCAAAAGCUCAAAUUUGAAAUCUGGCGUCUUUGGCGUCCGAGUUGUAAUUUGAAGAAGGUAUCUUUGGGCCCGGCUCUUGUCUAUGUUCCUUGGAACAGGACGUCACAGAGGGUGAGAAUCCCGUGCGAUGAGAUGACCCGGGUCUGUGUAAAGUUCCUUCGACGAGUCGAGUUGUUUGGGAAUGCAGCUCUAAGUGGGUGGUAAAUUCCAUCUAAAGCUAAAUAUUGGCGAGAGACCGAUAGCGAACAAGUACAGUGAUGGAAAGAUGAAAAGAACUUUGAAAAGAGAGUGAAAAAGUACGUGAAAUUGUUGAAAGGGAAGGGCUUGAGAUCAGACUUGGUAUUUUGCAUGUUGCUCUCUCGGGGGCGGCCGCUGCGGUUUACCGGGCCAGCAUCGGUUUGGAGCGGCAGGAUAAUGGCGGAGGAAUGUGGCACGGCUUCUGCUGUGUGUUAUAGCCUCUGACGAUACUGCCAGCCUA
rnacentral:rRNA from 1 species